rnacentral:rRNA from 1 species
UACCUAAACAAAUUUAAAAAGUUAAGCUUUUAAAUAACUAUUAAAGAUAUUAUCCCCUUGUAGUGUAGUUUAAUAGCUAUCUACAUAAUAACUUAAUAUAAAGUAUAAUAGUUUAUAUUUUAUAAUAUGACGUUAACAAUUUUGUUUAAUAUUUGAAAAUGUUAGUAUUAGUAAUAUUAGUAUAUGUGCUAAAGGAACUCGGCAAAAAACCACUCAACUGUUUAUCAAAAACAUAGCUAUAUGAAUUAAUAUAUAGUUAUUUCUGCUCAAUGAUUUAAAUAGCCGCAGUACUCUGACUGUGCAAAGGUAGCAUAAUCAGUUGGCUUUUAAUUAGAGUCUGGUAUGAACGAAAAUAUGGGUAGUAACUGUCUUAGUACAUUUUUUCGAACUUAUUAAACAAGUGCAAAUGCUUGUAAUUUAACAAUAGACGAGAAGACCCUAGAAACUUGGACAAGUUUUUGUUGGGGCGACAGAAUUACACUUAACUAAUCUUAUAAUACACGACGCGAUGUUGAAAGAAUAAGUUACUCUAGGGAUAACAGCAUAAUUUCAUUAGUUUGUGACCUCGAUGUUGGACUAGGUACUAUACCCUUAAGGCAAGGAUAUAUUAUGCUCUGUUCGAGCAAAAUUACCUACAU